CGUCGCCUGUUUAACAAAAACAUAACUGUAUGAGAUACUAUGCAGCUUUUUCUGCUCCAUGAUAUGUUAAAUAGCCGCAGUACCCUGACUGUGCAAAGGUAGCAUAAUCAAUUGGCUUCUAAUUAAAGUCUGGUAUGAAUGAACGUAUGGGUAAUGACUGUCUAAGGGAUGUUAAUCCAAAAUUAUCAAGUUGGUGCAAAUGCCAACAGGCUUAAAAAAGACGAGAAGACCCUAGAAACUUAUAGUUGAUUUUGCUGGGGCGGCAGAAUUGCAUAUAACCAAUUUUAAUUUACGUGAAGCGACGCAGAAAGAAAAAGUUACUCUAGGGAUAACAGCAUAAUUUUAAUAGUUUGUGACCUCGAUGUUGGACUAGGGAUGUUACCUUCUAGAAGGAGGUAAUUAUGGCUCUGUUCGAGCUCUUAGCCCCUACGUGAUCUGAU
rnacentral:rRNA from 1 species